GUAGUCGUGGCCGAUUGGUUAAGGUGAUGGAUUACGAAUUCAUUGGGGUUUCCCCGCGCAAGUUCGAAUCCUGCCGACUACG